UACGGAGGGGGCUAGCGUUGUUCGGAAUUACUGGGCGUAAAGCGCGCGUAGGCGGACUGUUGAGUCGGGGGUGAAAUCCCGGGGCUCAACCCCGGAACGGCCUUCGAUACUGGCAGUCUGGAGGACGGAAGAGGUCAGUGGAAUGGCGAGUGUAGAGGUGAAAUUCGUAGAUAUUCGCCGGAACACCAGUGGCGAAGGCGACUGACUGGUCCGUUUCUGACGCUGAGGCGCGAAAGCGUGGGGAGCAAACAGG
rnacentral:rRNA from 1 species